UAACGAAUAUUCCGCAAUGGGCGCAAGCCUGACGGAGCGACGCCGCGUGGAGGACGAAGUCCUUCGGGAUGUAAACUCCUUUUAGGGGUAGGAAAGCGGAGGGCGCUAACACCGCCUGAGUUGAUCCAGCCCAGAAAAAGCAUCGGCUAAUCCCGUGCCAGCAGCCGCGGUAAGACGGGAGAUGCGAGCGUUGUUCGGAAUCAUUGGGCUUAAAGCGUGUGUAGGCGGCUCGGUAAGUACCUUGUGAAAUCCCACGGCUCAACCGUGGAACUGCUUGGUCUACUGCCGGGCUCGAGGUUGGUAGAGGUGCCUGGAACUCUAGGUGGAGCGGUGAAAUGCGUAGAUAUCUAGAGGAACGCCCGUGGCGAAAGCGGGGCACUGGGCCAAUCCUGACGCUGAGACACGAAAGCGUGGGGAGCAAACGGGAUUAGAUACCCCCGUAGUCC
rnacentral:rRNA from 1 species